AAGAAAGUGCCAGAGUGGUGAUGCGGUUGGCUUGAAACCAUCAUACGGGGGUUCGAUUCCCUCCUUUCUCG
rnacentral:tRNA from 1 species